ACAGUUUGUAUCAGUUUAUUAUGAUGGGUGUGCUUUGCUGAACUAGCUAGUUUGCUACAAAUGUCCUGAAACAGUCUGUCAGGGAAGUGGGAAUUGAAGCCAUAAAUGGGAUUUCUAUCAGACAAAUAAGCUUUAUCACAACAAAUUUGCUGGACGCAUAGUUUUUCAAUCAACAGAACUUACAAGUAACAUGAUGUCAACAAACGAUUGCACACUAGAGAUUUAGUAUUAUUUAUUGAACAUUCCAUUCGAAAGCCUUAGUCAACUGAAACUGGUUGCAUAUUUGCAGCCUCAUUUCUGAGUUCUUCAAACAGUACAGAAGUCAAGUAUCGCUCCCCGAAACUUGGAUGAACAGUCUGCAAUUCAAAUCAGUAAUGGACUUGUUCUGAGAACUUAUUUUCCAAUCAAGCAAUCGACACGCAAUGAUGACAAUGAUUACUUAUAGUGAAGUUGUAAGCUUUUGACAUCGAACCAGAAAUUUGUAUAGACUAAUGACUAGGAAAAGCAAAGUUGUUCUAACCACUUUCGUUGUUAUAUGAAUCCCAUUAUUUAAAGAGAAAAAGCAAUGAGCAACAUAGCUUUUUCUCCCCAAAUCAGUGGGCAUCCUUAUCACUUCAGAGUUGAAGUUGUUCUUACCACGAUGAGUUUUCCUUUGUUCUCUGGCAUUCUAGCAAGUCUAAGUGCAGCAACUGUGUUGGCUCCAGAUGAUAUUCCCACCUACAUGAACCAGAAGAUUGAAUCAAGAUUUAAACAACUAUUAAAAGCUUUAUGCUGCCCAUUUCUUAAAGCCAAUGUAUUUAAUAACUACAAGAAUGGAGAACUUGAAAAUAAAGCUGAAGCUCAUACAUUUUCAAUUCACAUCCAAGAAACUAAUUAAACACUGCAGUUUGUGUGAAAUGUACUGACAAAGGUGGUUGCAGUUGACCACCUAUUUAACCAAUCAGUUCAUAGAAAAUCUCACAUAGCAUUAGCGUGCUCAGUUCACUUAGAAAUAGCAUUAUAUUUAUAUAUAUAUAUAAAGAACAAUCUGCGAACAAGUUAACGUAAUUUAUAAUUGUUGUUCAAGUUAUUACCAUAAGCCCCUCCUCCAGUGCCAACCUCCUGGCCAUCUUCACUGCAUCUUCACUGCUAACCUGUCAUUUGAGCAUUUCACUGUCAGUUUGGCUCAUCAGAUCCCAAACAUUACAGAUAGCUUUCAUUUCAGUUCUUUACCCUCUUUAUAUUUCCUUCUUCAUGGUGAUACCUACCUCAAGAACUUUUUCCAUUACAUCCAAGUCCAAUAUGUCUGGUUUAAAUCCAACUCCGUUACCCAUAAUUUGAUGAGGACCUGGUUUACCACCGUUGAGCACAUUACUUUCAGCAGGCUCCACUCCAUAUAUCUUAACUUUAGGAUUUUGUGAUUUAAGGUACUGUCCAACACCGGAGACUGUUCCUCCACUGCCUAUUCCCAUCACAAAGAUGUCAACUUGUCCAAGUGUAUCCUCCCAAAUUUCAGGACCCGUAGUUUCAAAAUGGAUCUUAGUAUUUGCAGGAUUUGAAAAUUGUUGUAGCAUGAAAGCAUUUGGUGUGGAUUCCAAAAGAUCAUGUGCCUUCUUAACUGUUCCUCCCAUUCCCUUGGUGGGAUCAGUGAGAAUUAGCUCAGCGCCAAAUGCCCUCAUAGUUACCCUUCUCUCCAAGCUGGUGUAAGAGGGCAUGGUUAGAAUCAUCUUGUAUCCUUUCAUGGCUGCCAUAAAAGCCAUACUAAUCCCCAUAUUACCAGACGUUGGCUCUAUCAAGAUCGUCUUUCCAGGAGUGAUUAAAUUCUUCUUUUCUGCAUCAUUGAUCAUUGAAAACGCCGGCCUGUCUUUGAUGCUGGCAGUUGGUUGCAUCAUCUCUUGCUUGACGGCUAUGAAAGCUCCACAUCCUUCGGUCACUUUGUUAAGAUAAACAAGAGGAGUUCUCCCAAUAAGUUGAGAAACUUCAGGCUUGAUUUUAGUUCCAGGAAGAUUAUUAGGAAGUUUUUGAGCAAAAGAGGGAGAUUCAGCAACAGCCUCGGAAGAGAAGAACCUCCUUAUAGGAAGCUCGUUGGACGUUAAAUAUUUUUUCUUCAACAAGUUCCUAAGAGUAGCCAUUGAUGAAAACUUGAGCUCUUCCCACACUCCACAGUACUAUCAAAACCCGCUAGCAGUGGAU
rnacentral:misc_RNA from 1 species